CGUUGAGCUAACCGGUACUAAUGAACCGUGAGGCUUAACCUUACAACGCCGAAGC
rnacentral:rRNA from 3 species